CAACGAGCGCAACCCCUAUCUUAUGUUGCCAGCACGUAAAGGUGGGAACUCAUGAGAGACUGCACGCAAGACAAUGCGGAGGGAAGGGCGGGGAUGACGUCAAAUCAUCAUGCCCCUUAUGACCUGGGCUACACACGUACUACAAUGGGAGUUAAUAGACGGAAGCGAGAUCGCGAGAUGGAGCAAACCCGAGAAACACUCUCUCAGUUCGGAUCGUAGGCUGCAACUCGCCUACGUGAAGUCGGAAUCGCUAGUAAUCGCAGGUCAGCAUACUGCGGUGAAUACGUUCCCGGGCCUUGUACACACCGCCCGUCACACCACGAAAGUCGGAAGUGCCCAAAGCCGGUGGGGUAACCUUCGGGAGCCAGCCGUCUAAGGUAAAGUCGAUGAUUGGGGUGAAGUCGUAACCAAGGUAGCCGUAUCG
rnacentral:rRNA from 1 species